rnacentral:rRNA from 1 species
GGGGAAUCUUCCGCAAUGGGCGCAAGCCUGACAGUGCGACGCCGCGUGAAGGACUAAGGCCCUCUGGGGCCGUAAACUUCUUUGCACGGGCACAGGAAGACUGACCGCCCGGGAAGCAAGCAUCGGCUAACUCCGUGCCAGCAGCCGCGGUAAUACGGGGGAUGCAAGCGUUAUCCGGAUUUACUGGGCGUAAAGCGUCUGUAGGUGGUUCGGUGUGUCUGUUGUCGAAACGCAGGGCUUAACUCUGUGGGGCAUGUGGAUACUAUCGAACUAGAGGGCGGUAGGGGUGGGGGGAAUCCCUCGAGGAGCAGUGAAAUGCUUAGAUACCUGGGAGAAGGCCGGAAGCGGAAGCUGCCCACUGGGCCGCGCCUGACACUGAGAGACGAAAGCUAGGGGAGCCAAAGGGAUUAGAUACCCCUGUAGUC